AACGCGAAGAACCUUACCUGGGCUCGAAGCGCAGUGGACCGGGGUAGAAAUAUCCCUUUUCGCAAGAACUGCUGCGGAGGUGCUGCAUGGCUGUCGUCAGCUCGUGUCGUGAGAUGUUGGGUUAAGUCCCGCAACGAGCGCAACCCUUAUCGUUAGUUGCCAGCGAGUCAAGUCGGGCACUCUAGCGAAACCGCCCCGGAUAACGGGGAGGAAGGUGGGGAUGACGUCAAGUCCUCAUGGCCUUUAUGUCCAGGGCUACACACGUGCUACAAUGGUCGGUACAAACCGUCGCAAACCUGCGAAGGGGAGCUAAUCGGAAAAAGCCGGCCUCAGUUCGGAUUGGAGUCUGCAACCCGACUCCAUGAAGCUGGAAUCGCUAGUAAUCGCGGAUCAGCACGCCGCGGUGAAUACGUUCCCGGGCCUUGUACACACCGGAGUGC
rnacentral:rRNA from 1 species